rnacentral:rRNA from 1 species
AACGAACGCUGGCGGCAUGCCUAACACAUGCAAGUCGAACGAGACCUUCGGGUCUAGUGGCGCACGGGUGCGUAACGCGUGGGAAUCUACCCUUGGGUUCGGAAUAACAGUUAGAAAUGACUGCUAAUACCGGAUGAUGACGUAAGUCCAAAGAUUUAUCGCCCAAGGAUGAGCCCGCGUAAGAUUAGCUUGUUGGUGGGGUAAUGGCCUACCAAGGCGACGAUCUUUAGCUGGUCUGAGAGGAUGAUCAGCCACACUGGGACUGAGACACGGCCCAGACUCCUACGGGAGGCAGCAGUGGGGAAUAUUGGACAAUGGGCGAAAGCCUGAUCCAGCAAUGCCGCGUGAGUGAUGAAGGCCUUAGGGUUGUAAAGCUCUUUUACCAGGGAUGAUAAUGACAGUACCUGGAGAAUAAGCUCCGGCUAACUCCGUGCCAGCCGCCGUUAAGA